rnacentral:rRNA from 1 species
AUUGAACGCUGGCGGCAGGCCUAACACAUGCAAGUCGAACGGUAACAGGAAGCUGCUUUCUGCUUCGCUGGCGAGUGGCGGGCGGGUGAGUAAUGUCUGGGAAGCUGCCUGAUGUAGGGGGACAUCUACUGGAAACGGUAGCUACUACCGCAUAAUGUCGCAAGACUAAAGGGGGGGACCUUCGUGCCUCUUGCCAUCGUAUGUGCCCGGCUGUGUUUAGUUUGUUGGUGGGGUAACGGCUCACCAAGGCGACGAUCGCUAGCUGGUCUGAGAGGAUGACAGCCGACACGGGGACGGAGGCAGGGUCCAGACUCCUGCGGGAGGCAGCAGUGGGGAAUAUUGCACAAUGGUGGCGAGCCUGAUGCAGCCAUGCGGCGUGUAUGAAGAAGGCCCUCGGGUUGUGAAGUACUUUCGGCGGGUAGGAAGGGAGUAAAGUUAAUACCGUUGCUCAUUGACGUUACCCGCAGAAGAAGCACCGGCUAACUCCGUG